rnacentral:rRNA from 1 species
CACGGAGUUAGCCGGAGCUUAUUCUCCCGGUACUGUCAUUAUCAUCCCGGGUAAAAGAGCUUUACAACCCUAAGGCCUUCAUCACUCACGCGGCAUUGCUGGAUCAGGCUUUCGCCCAUUGUCCAAUAUUCCCCACUGCUGCCUCCCGUAGGAGUCUGGGCCGUGUCUCAGUCCCAGUGUGGCUGACCAUCCUCUCAGACCAGCUAUGGAUCGUCGCCUUGGUAGGCCUUUACCCCACCAACUAGCUAAUCCAACGCGGGCUCAUCCCUGGGCGAUAAAUCUUUGGUCUUACGACAUCAUCCGGUAUUAGCACAGCUUUCGCUGAGUUAUUCCGAACCCAAGGGCAGAUUCCCACGCGUUACGCACCCGUGCGCCACUAGCACCCGAAGGUACCCGUUCGACUUGCAUGUGUUAGGCAUGCCGCCAGCGUUCGUUCUGAGCCAGGAUCAAACUCU